AGCCGCGGUAAUACGGAGGGGGCUAGCGUUGUUCGGAAUUACUGGGCGUAAAGGGUGCGUAGGCGGCUGUCCAAGUCGGGCGUGAAAGCCCCGGGCUCAACCCGGGAUGGGCGUCCGAGACUGUGCGGCUCGAGUUCGGGAGAGGUGAGUGGAAUUCCCAGUGUAGAGGUGAAAUUCGUAGAUAUUGGGAAGAACACCGGUGGCGAAGGCGGCUCACUGGACCGACACUGACGCUGAGGCACGAAAGCGUGGGGAGCAAACA
rnacentral:rRNA from 1 species